AGUUAGUGGCGGACGGGUGAGUAACGCGUGGAAAACCUGCCGUAUACUGGGGGAUAACACUUAGAAAUAGGUGCUAAUACCGCAUAAGCGCACAGCUUCGCAUGAAGCGGUGUGAAAAACUCUGGUGGUAUACGAUGGUUCCGCGUCUGAUUAGCUAGUUGGUGGGGUAAUGGCCUACCAAGACAACGAUGGAUAGGGGUUCUGAGAGGAAGGUCCCCCACAUUGGAACUGAGACACGGUCCAAACUCCUACGGAAGGCAGCAG
rnacentral:rRNA from 1 species